rnacentral:tRNA from 1 species
GGGGGCGUAGUUCAGCUGGUUAGAAUACAUGCCUGUCACGCAUGGGGUCGCGGGUUCGAGCCCCGUCGCUCCCG